rnacentral:rRNA from 1 species
AUUGAACGCUGGCGGCAGGCUUAACACAUGCAAGUCGAGCGAGCGGCGGACGGGUGAGUAAUGCCUGGGAAUCUGCCUGAUGGAGGGGGAUAACUACUGGAAACGGUCGCUAAUACCGCCUACCAUCGGAUGAGCCCAGUUGGUAUUAGCUAGUGGGUGGGGUAAUGGCUCACCAAGCCGACGACCCCUAGCUGGUCUGAGAGGAUGACCAGCCACACGGGGACUGAGACACGGUCCAGACUCCUACGGGAGGCAGAAGUGGGGAAUAUUGCGCAAUGGGCGCAAGCCUGAUGCAGCCAUGCCGCGUGAGUGAAGAAGGCCUUCGGGUUGUAAAGCACUUUCAGUGAGGAGGCGUUACUCACAGAAGAAGCACCGGCUAACUCCGUGCCAGCAGCCGCGGUAAUUC